rnacentral:rRNA from 1 species
AUUGAACGCUGGCGGCAGGCCUAACACAUGCAAGUCGAGCGAGCGGCGGACGGGUGAGAAAUGUAUGGGGACUGCCCGCUAGAGGGGGAUAACUACUGGAAACGGUAGCUAAUACCGCAUACUAUCGGAUAACCCAAGUGGGAUUAGCUAGUAGGUGAGGUAAUGGCUCACCUAGGCGACGAUCCCUAGCUGUUCUGAGAGGAUGAUCAGCCACACGGGGACUGAGACACGGCCCAGACUCCUACGGAGGCAGCAGUGGGGAAUAUUGCACAAUGGGCGCAAGCCUGAUGCAGCCAUGCCGCGUGUAUGAAGAAGGCCCGAGGGUUGUAAAGUACUUUCAGUCGGGAGGCGUUACCGACAGAAGAAGCACCGGCUAACUCCGUGCCAGCAGCCGCGGUAAUUC